rnacentral:rRNA from 1 species
GACGAACCGUGCGAACGUUGUUCGGAAUCACUGGGCUUAAAGGGCGCGUAGGCGGCCCGCGAGGUCGGGGGUGAAAUCCCACGGCUCAACCGUGGAAGGGCCUCCGAUACCGGCGGGCUGGAGGAAGGUAGGGGUGCGCGGAACUUCUGGUGGAGCGGUGAAAUGCGUUGAUAUCAGAAGGAACGCCGGCGGCGAAAGCGGCGCACUGGACCUUUUCUGACGCUGAGGCGCGAAAGCGUGGGGAGCGAACGGG